rnacentral:lncRNA from 1 species
UUAUGUUCACGCGCCUCAAACAGUCAUGACCACUCGUCCCCAAUUCGGAGCUCAUCUAAUUCUGCACAAGCUCUGAUUUUGUAUAUCCAUGGAUAUGUCAUCAAAAGUCUCAUAUUAUGUAACAAAAAGAUGUCAUAGAAAGCCCUGUAGCCAUAUGUUGUGAAAUUGUCAAUAUCUUUGUCUGAAACUAGUCGCUAUUCUAUAAGGUAAAAGUCUUCUUCAGUCAAGUCUAAGGUCGUUUUCUAUCCUGGCUGCAUUAUUAAUCUUGAAAAGUCUAUUCCAAGAAGCCAAUUUCAACUCUACCAUCUUUAGCAUGUGUUUUAGAUAAGCCAAUCGUUUUUUAUGUCAUAGGCCAGUGGAGAAAGAUUUAGCAAAAACAUAAGUAUUUUAUGGAUUUAGAUAAUCUAGAACAUUCGUUGAAUUUUCCUCUGCCUCACACUUUAAAAUAACAUCAAAUCUCUAUCUAUUUAUACAAACCCUUUUCAUCUGGCAUCUUCAGUUCAGUAAAAUAGAAGAAAGCAUCUAACGAAUUUUACAAGUAAGUGCGUUUAUGAGUGAUACAAAGAUAUCAGCAGUAGCAGUUGCUGCUGCUGUAGUGGUGGUAACUACGGUUACGGUAUGGAUAUGGAAAGGUCUGAAUGUAGCUUGGCUUAGACCAAAGAAAAAUGAGGCUUAUCUAAAGAGACAAGGUCUCUCUGGAACUCCUUUCACCUUUCUUGUCGGAGACAUUAAAAGGGAAGCCAGUAUGGUGGAGCAAGAAAAGUCCAGACCCAUCAAUCUAACUGAUGAUUACACGCAUCGUGUCAUGCCUCUGAUACAACAGACCGUUAAGGAUCAUGGUAAGAAAUGGUUUGAUCUGAACUCAAAACAGAUAUCCUCUGUUUUUCUAAUUUAUGCGUUGGUUAGUGUUAAUAUCCUCUGUUUCUAUGGUUGGUUUUUGUUUAGGGAAGACAUCUUACAUGUGGAUGGGACCUAUAGCGAGUGUGAUUGUGACGAAACCAGAACACAUCAAAGAUGUUCUAAACAGAGUUUACGAUUUCCCGAAGCCGCCAGUGCACCCAAUCGUUGAGCUCUUCGCGACUGGAGUCGCGCUGUAUGAAGGAGAGAAAUGGUCUAAGCACAGGAAGAUUAUAAACCCUUCUUUUCAUCUUGAAAAGCUCAAGGUCUUACUUACAUCAGUUCUUAUGGUUUCACACUUUUUACCAAUCCUUAUCUGAUUGUUUGCUUUUUUCUUUAUUUUGUAGAUUAUGAUACCUGCAUUCUACGAGAGCUGCAGCGAGAUGAUAAGUAAAUGGGAGAAGUUGGUGACCGAGCAAGGAUCAUCGAAUGAGAUCGAUGUUUGGCCAUAUCUUGGAGAUUUAACAUCAGAUGUAAUUUCACGUACUGCAUUUGGUAGUAGCUACGAGGAAGGUAAGAGAAUCUUUGAGCUUCAAGAAGAACAAGGCCGGCGAGUGUUAAAAGCUCUUGAGUUGGCUUUUAUCCCUGGAAUGAGGUAAACGGUCUUUAGUGUUCUUUCGCUUUUAUAAAUAUGGAAAGAUCAUAUGCUUCUUCUCAUUGUUUAGGUUUCUACCAACAAAGAACAAUUUGAGGAUGAGACAAAUUAACAAAGAAGUGAAAUCUAGACUGAGAGAGAUCAUCAUGAAAAGACAGAGGGGUAUGGAUACAGGGGAGGCUCCAAAGAAUGAUCUGUUAGGAAUACUUUUGGAAUCGAAUUCUGGAGAUCAUGGUAUGAGUAUCGAAGAUGUGGUAGAAGAGUGCAGGCUGUUUCACUUCGCGGGCCAAGAAACCACCGCGGUGCUGCUCGUGUGGACUAUGAUAAUGCUGAGCCAUCACCAAAAAUGGCAGGAUCAAGCUAGAGAAGAGAUAUUAAAAGUCAUUGGGAAGAACAACAAACCUAAUUUUGAUGCACUCUCUCGACUCAAAACAGUAAGUACUCUUGUGUAUUUUUCUGAUAAUCAGAGGAUUACCAAAACUUAGACUUACUUUUCUUUUGACAGAUGAGCAUGAUCUUGAACGAAGUUUUGAGGUUAUACCCACCAGGGAUACUACUUGGUCGAACCGUAGAGAAAGAAACAAAGCUUGGUGAAGACAUGACACUACCAGGUGGUGCACAAGUAGUGAUUCCUGUUCUUAUGGUUCAUCGUGAUCCCGAGCUCUGGGGUGAAGAUGUGCAUGAAUUCAAUCCUGAAAGAUUCGCAGAUGGUAUCUCAAAAGCCACAAAGAACCAAGUUUCGUUUCUUCCGUUUGGAUGGGGACCAAGAUUCUGUCCUGGCCAGAAUUUUGCUUUGAUGGAAGCUAAGAUGGCACUUGUCUUGAUUCUGCAGAGAUUCUCCUUUGAGCUGUCUCCUUCGUACACUCACGCACCUCAUACGGUUCUUACACUUCAUCCUCAGUUUGGUGCUCCGUUGAUCUUCCACAUGCUCUGAAAUCGAGUCACAGAGUACACCAAAUUUCGAAAUUCCUCUGUCUUUUUUGUUUUUCUUAAAUCAAAUUUCAGUAGCAUAUAUAACCCAAUAAUACCACGAUGAAAUCAAGUUCGAUUCAAACAUUUAGGGAAUAUUCUCAGAGAACAUAUCAUAAACAUUUGAGCAUGAACACGUGAUUUCUAUAAUAACUUUCCUAUUAUGUUAAUAUAGAAUUUUUUACUUGACUAAUUACUUUCCAUAAAAACUUGAGAAUACUAAACAUAUGACCAUUUUAUUUUAUUUGCAAAAACAAUUGAUGACUCGUAAUAAGUUAAUUCAUUUACUGCAUGUGUUUCUCUUAGAAUAAGAUGGAUUUCGCAUGGCUUAUUAUUGAUUAAGUCAUUAAUAAGUCUGAAGUAUAAAAGUAUAAUAUAUAACAAUAAUGGCAUAUUAGUUAAUUGUUUAACCAAGAAUACAAAGACUUGAGGCAUGGAAGACAGAUGUGGCCAGAGGUCGUGAGGAACCUGAGUAAAGGCCAAAGUUCGACGGUUACAAACAAUAUUUUAUUGUCCGAACACAAAUCUAUAAGUACUAAAGACAAAUCAGCACAUGCAUUUUCUUCAUCAAAAUUCUCAAAAAUUUUAAGAGACCAAAAACAUCAGCAAAUGGAGAUAGUAAUUGCAUCAUUGGCUUUAGUUGUUGUAUUGUGGUGUAUAUGGAGAAUUUUGGAGUGGGUUUGGCUUAAACCUAAGAUGCUUGAGAGUUACCUGAGAAGACAAGGUCUUGUCGGAACUCGUUACACGCCUCUUGUAGGAGAUGUGAGAAGGAGUUUUAGCAUGUUGAAGGAAGCAAGAUCCAAACCGAUGAAACCAACGGAUGAUCUCAUCUCACUUGUCAUGCCUUACUCUUUUCACAUGCUCAACACUUACGGUUGAGAUUUUAAAUUCUUUUUGUAUUUACUAGAGGUCUAAACGGUUCUUCUUCUAAUAUAUAUGCAUGUAUGUAUCUGUGGCUACAACAGGGAAGACAUUUUUCACAUGGUCAGGACCCAUACCUGCCAUAACAAUAAUGAAUCCACAGCUGAUCAAAGAAGUGUACAACAAGUUUUAUGAUUUCGAGAAGACGCACACGUUUCCUUUGACUUCAUUGCUAACUGAUGGACUUGCUAAUGCCGAUGGAGAUAAAUGGGUGAAACACCGGAAGAUUAUCAACCCGGCAUUCCAUUUUGAGAAGAUUAAGGUUUCAAAUCCUCUUCUCUAAUAUUGUCACAAAACCAUGCAUGUUAAUAUUGCUUCUGGCUGACGAGUGAAUGGCCUUUUUUUGUGACCUGAUUAUGAUUUUGUGUAUAGAAUAUGGUCCCUACGUUUUAUAAAAGUUGCAUCGAGGUCAUGUGUGAAUGGGAGAAGUUAGUUUCAGAUAAAGGGUCGUCGUGCGAGCUUGAUGUUUGGCCAUGGAUUGUGAAUAUGACCGGAGAUGUGAUCUCUCGAACCGCUUUUGGUAGCAGUUACAAAGAAGGACAGAGGAUAUUCAUAUUACAAGCAGAAUUAGCCCACCUCAUCAUACUAGCUCUUGGAAAGAAUUACAUUCCUGCAUACCGGUAAGAAACUUUACUUGUUUUGGUCUCUAAUUACUUAGCAUGACUCUUGGUUACAAUACUCUUCUUGGAACUGUGAAUUUCAUUCUUCUUUGUUUUUGUAUGUGUAGGCAUUUCCCAACUAAGAAUAACAGAAGGAUGAAAACAAUAGUCAAAGAAAUCCAAGUCAUACUAAGAGGGAUCAUUAGCCAUAGAGAAAAGGCGAGAGACGCUGGAGAAGCACCGAGUGACGAUUUGUUAGGUAUACUUCUUAAAUCGAAUUCAGAGCAAAGUAAAGGAAAUGGACUGAACAUGGAAGAAAUCAUGGAAGAGUGCAAGUUGUUUUAUUUUGCGGGACAAGAGACCACUUCAGUACUUUUGGCUUGGACUAUGGUUUUGUUAAGCCAACACCAAGACUGGCAAGCUCGUGCACGAGAGGAAGUGAUGCAAGUUUUUGGCCAUAACAAACCUGAUCUACAAGGCAUUAACCAACUCAAAGUUGUAAGUAUUAACCAAACCAAAAAAAAAUCAAGUUGAUGCAUUUCUUCAAUUUUGUUUUGAUGAUUUUGUUCCUACAGAUGACAAUGAUUAUAUAUGAAGUCCUGAGGCUAUAUCCUCCAGUAAUCCAGAUGAACAGAGCGACUCACAAAGAGAUAAAGCUAGGUGAUAUGACACUACCAGGCGGUAUUCAAGUCCAUAUGCCUGUUCUGCUAAUCCACCGUGACACUAAGCUUUGGGGCGAUGAUGCAGCGGAGUUCAAGCCCGAGAGGUUCAAAGACGGGAUCGCAAAGGCAACAAAGAACCAGGUCUGCUUCUUGCCUUUCGGGUGGGGACCGAGGAUUUGCAUCGGUCAGAACUUCGCUCUGUUGGAAGCAAAGAUGGCUCUGGCUUUGAUUCUUCAGAGAUUCUCCUUCGAGCUUUCACCUUCCUAUGUUCAUUCACCUUACAGAGUCUUCACUAUACAUCCACAGUGUGGGGCUCAUCUUAUCCUGCACAAGCUUUGAUACUAUACUCCACGUGAUGUUAUCAAAACUUAUACAUAUGAGAAACAAAAUUUCAUAGAGGAAUUUAUUCAAGAUAAUAGUCAUAUUAACCAUGUUUUGAAUUGAGAAUGCUUCCCUAAUAACAACUAAUCCAUCUAUUUUUGAGUAUUAUUUUAUACCAAAUAGAAAUGCCUUAGUGGAAGAGAUGAUAUUUAAAUAAGAAUCUACAAAUUUGGGGAAAAAAUCUAUAAAGUUUAAAAUCUCUCAACUUUUGAAAUACACAGUUGUAACUCCCCAAUAAAAGCAAAAUUGAUCAAUUAGUGACUCAAGUAAAGCAAAAUAUCAAUGAGUCAAAAUAAAACAAUUUUGUCCAAAACACAAACUAUACAGUAUUUUAAAACAUGAGGGGUGGUAAUAUCCAUAUCCAUACCUUCUUCGAAACUAUCUCUCUUCUCUGGGAGAGAAAAAUGGAGAUAUCAGUUGCAUGCGUAACAGUUUCUGUAGUUGUAGUUGUUGUGUCAUGGUGGGUAUGGAGAACUUUACAGUGGGUUUGGUUUAAACCAAAGAUGCUUGAAAGUUACUUGAGAAGACAAGGUCUUGCCGGAACUCCUUACACACCUCUUAUCGGUGAUUUGAAGAGGAACGUCAACAUGUUGACGGAGGCAACAUCCAAACCCAUCAAACUAACCGAAGAUAUCACACCUCGUGUCCUGCCUCAUCCCUUCCAAAUGCUCAAGACUCACGGUAUGUGUCCUGGUUGGCCUUUUGCUUCCUCUCUGUUUUAAACUGUUGAUCAAGAGAAAAAGAGUUUCAAAUUUUGUAUAUCUAUGUGGUUUGAAACAGGAAGGACUUUCUUUACAUGGCUUGGACCCAAACCAACCAUCACCAUAAUGGAUCCAGAGCUAAUCAAAGAAGUGUUCAACAAAGUUUAUGAUUAUCCGAAGGCGCAAACGUUUCUUUUGGGCAGACUAAUAGCCACUGGAAUCAUUAAUUACGAUGGUGAUAAAUGGGCGAAACACCGAAGAAUCAUCAACCCUGCUUUUCAUAUAGAGAAGAUCAAGGUUUAAGGCUUUAUUUUUCAGUCAUGAAUCAAGUUGUAUGCUCAUUUUAUUCUGAACUAAUUUGUGCAUUCUAACUUCUAUGUAUAGAAUAUGGUACCUGCGUUCCACCAGAGCUGCAGCGAUGUUGUUGGCGAAUGGAGCAAGUUAGUGUCGGAUAAAGGGUCGUCGUCCUGUGAGGUAGACGUUUGGCCUUGGCUUGUGAGUAUGACUGGAGAUGUGAUCUCUCGUACUGCUUUUGGCAGCAGCUACAAAGAAGGGCAGAGGAUCUUUGAGCUACAAGCAGAACUAGUACAUCUCAUCUUACAAGCUUUUUGGAAAGUUUACAUCCCUGGAUAUCGGUAAUAAAAGAUCUCAACCUGCCUGGUUUUAGAACUUCACUAGUGCUGCAAACUAUUACAGAUUGUGAACCAUGAUGUGUCAUAUACUCAUAUUCUCUCUGUCUUCUGUUUGUGUAGUUAUCUCCCUACGAAGAGUAAUAGAAGGAUGAAAGCAGCAGCUAGAGAAAUCCAAGUUAUACUGAAAGGGAUCGUUAACAAAAGGUUAAGGGCGAGAGAAGCUGGGAAAGCAGCACCAAACGACGAUUUGUUGGGAAUACUUCUUGAAUCAAAUUUGGGGCAAGCCAAAGGAAAUGGAAUGAGUACUGAGGAUGUGAUGGAGGAGUGCAAGUUGUUCUAUUUCGCCGGGCAAGAGACAACUUCGGUACUUCUGGUCUGGGCAAUGGUGCUGUUAAGCCACCACCAAGAUUGGCAGGCUCGUGCACGAGAGGAAGUGAAGCAAGUUUUUGGCGAUAAAGAACCUGAUACAGAAUGUCUUAGCCAGCUCAAAGUUGUAAGUAUAAACCAAAUCAUAAACCUUCAGGUGACUUUAGUACUUUUAUUGUGUUUAGAUGGUUUUGCUGAAUGUUUCCAACAGAUGACAAUGAUAUUAUAUGAGGUUCUCAGGCUAUAUCCUCCUGUAACUCACCUGACCCGAGCGAUUGACAAAGAGAUGAAGCUAGGUGACUUGACACUACCAGCCGGUGUUCAUAUCAGUCUACCUAUAAUGCUAGUCCAACGCGACCCCAUGCUGUGGGGUACUGAUGCAGCAGAAUUUAAGCCUGAGAGAUUCAAAGACGGUCUUUCAAAGGCAACAAAGAGCCAAGUCUCCUUCUUUCCAUUUGCAUGGGGACCGAGGAUAUGCAUCGGCCAGAAUUUUGCCAUGUUAGAGGCAAAGAUGGCAAUGGCGUUGAUUCUACAGACAUUCACCUUCGAGCUUUCUCCUUCCUAUGUUCAUGCGCCUCAAACAGUCGUUACCAUUCACCCGCAGUUCGGUGCACAUCUUAUUCUGCGCAAGCUAUAAUUCUAUAACCACAUGUGCUGUUGUCAAAUAAACAUAGGAAAAUAAUCCAGAUCAUAAUAUAAAACUCAAAUCUUUUUCUUAUUUGAAGUCAGAACUUUGUCCUCACAUAUGUCUUGAGAAACCAAAAUAUUUCCAAUAAAAAGAGUGAAACGCAUGGACCAAUAGAUUUCUUCCUCUUUUCGUCGCUUUUCACACAAAGUCCAAAUAUGCUUCUGCGCUUUGGUGGCAUGUGACUGUGAGGGUCCAAGUAAAGCAAAAGAUCAAUUAAGCACAACAAAAUAAUUGUCCAAACCACCAAAAUAUAAAAUAUAAAAUAAUUUGUGACCAUCAUCACCACAUCCAUAUCUUCUCCGAUAUUCUAAACCCUGAGAAUGGUCACAAAUUCUCUAACUCUCUCUCUCUCUCUCUAGUAGAAAACAUGGAGAUAUCAGUUGCAUCGGUAACAGUUUCUGUAGCUGUAGUUGUUGUGUCGUGGUGGGUAUGGAGAACUUUACAGUGGGUUUGGUUUAAACCAAAGAUGCUUGAGAGUUACCUGAGAAGACAAGGUCUUGCUGGAACUCCUUACACGCCUCUUGUCGGUGAUUUGAAGAAGAAUUUUAGCAUGCGGGCUGAGGCAAGAUCCAAACCCAUCAACCUAACGGAUGAUAUCACACCACGUAUCGUACCUUAUCCGUUGCAAAUGCUCAAGACUCAUGGUAUGCUUCCUUGUUGGCAUCUUGAUUCCUCUUUGUUUAGAACUAUUGUAGAGUAUCUAGAAAAGGUUUCAACUUUCGUAUCUCUAUGUGGUUGAAACAGGGAGGACUUUCUUUACAUGGUUUGGAGCCAUACCAACAAUCACCAUAAUGGAUCCUGAGCAAAUCACAGAAGUGCUCAACAAAGUUUAUGAUUUCCAGAAGGCACAUACGUUUCCUCUGGGCAGAUUAAUAGCCACUGGAGUCCUUAGUUAUGAUGGUGAUAAAUGGGCGAAACACCGAAGAAUCAUCAACCCGGCUUUCCACCUUGAGAAGAUCAAGGUUUAAAGGCUUUAUCUUCCAUAGUCCCCAAUCAGAUUAGAUUGCUUUAUGUAUGUAUGUUCAUUUGGCUCUGAACCAAAUUGUGCCUUCUGCUUCUAUGUAUAGAAUAUGGUACCUGCGUUCCACCAGAGCUGCAGCGAGAUUGUUUGCAAAUGGGACAAGUUAGUGUCGGAUAAAGAGUCAUCAUGUGAGGUAGAUGUUUGGCCUGGGCUUGUGAGUAUGACUGCAGAUGUGAUCUCCCGUACUGCUUUUGGCAGCAGCUGCGUAGAAGGGCAGAGGAUAUUUGAGCUCCAAGCAGAACUAGCACAGCUCAUCAUUCAAACGGUUAGGAAAGCUUUCAUCCCUGGAUAUAGGUAAUGAAAAACUCAACUUAUCUGAUUUAAUAUAGGUCCUUCUGAGCUUGACUCUUGAUCUUAAAAUGUCGCAAUCUAUUCCUUAAAGAUAUGAACCGUGUUAACAUUAUCUUUCUGCCAAUCUUUUUCUGUAGUUAUCUCCCAACAAAAGGUAACAGAAGGAUGAAAGCAAAAGCAAGAGAAAUCCAAGUUAUACUGAGAGGGAUCGUUAACAAAAGGUUAAGGGCCAGAGAAGCUGGUGAAGCACCAAACGACGAUUUACUGGGAAUACUUCUUGAAUCGAAUUUGGGGCAAACGAAAGGAAACGGAAUGAGUACCGAGGAUCUGAUGGAGGAGUGCAAGUUGUUCUAUUUCGUCGGGCAAGAGACAACAUCAGUACUUCUGGUUUGGACAAUGGUUCUGUUAAGUCAACACCAAGAUUGGCAGGCUCGUGCACGAGAAGAAGUGAAGCAAGUGUUUGGCGAUAAAGAACCUGAUGCAGAAGGACUCAACCAGCUCAAAGUUGUAAGUAAAAGCAAAUCAUAAACCUCUUGGUGACUUUUGUUGUGUUUUGAUGAUUUUUGAUGAAUGAUUUGAUCCCACGCAGAUGACGAUGAUAUUAUAUGAGGUCCUUAGGCUAUAUCCUCCAAUACCUCAGCUGAGCAGAGCCAUUCACAAAGAGAUGGAGCUUGGAGAUCUGACACUACCAGGCGGCGUUCUGAUCAAUCUACCUAUCCUUCUAGUCCAACGCGACACGGAGCUGUGGGGAAACGAUGCAGGAGAGUUCAAGCCAGAUAGAUUCAAAGACGGUCUCUCAAAGGCAACAAAGAACCAAGCCUCCUUCUUUCCUUUUGCGUGGGGAUCGAGGAUCUGCAUUGGCCAGAAUUUUGCAUUGCUUGAGGCAAAGAUGGCAAUGGCAUUGAUACUCCAGAGAUUCUCCUUUGAGCUUUCUCCUUCCUAUGUUCACGCACCUUACACAGUCUUCACCAUUCACCCACAGUUCGGUGCUCCUCUUAUCAUGCACAAGCUCUAAUCGUUCGUAGCAACCCAUUUUGUUGUUAUCAAAUAUACUUUCCAUUCACAGAUGAAACAAUUCCAUAUCAGUCUACCUAUAAUGCUAGUCCAACGCGACACCAUGAUGUGGGAAUUCAAGCCUGAGAGAUUCAAAGACGGUCUUUCAAAGGCAACAAAGAGCCACGUCUCCUUCUUUCCAUUUGCAUGGGGACCGAAGAUAUGCAUCGGCCAGAAUUUUGCCAUGUUGGAGGCAAAGAUGGCAAUGGCGUUGAUUCUACAGAGAUUCUCCUUCGAGCUUUCUCCUUCCUAUGUUCAUGCGCCUCAAAUAGUCGUCACCAUUCACCCACAGUUCGGUGCACAUCUUAUCCUGCGCAAGCUGUAAUUCUAGAAUCCCAUGUGCUCUUGUCAGAUAAACAGAGGAAAAUAAACCAGAUCAUAGUAUAAAACUCAAAUCUUUUUAUUAAUUGAAUUCAGAACUUUGUGCUCACAUAUGUCUUGACAAACCAAAAUAUUUCCAAGAAAAAGAGUGAAACGCAUGGACCAAUAUAUGUCUUCCUAUUUUCGUCGCUUUUCACACGAAGUCCAAAUUUGCUUCUUGCGCCUUGGUGGCACGACUGUGAGGGUCCAAGUAAAGCAAAAAUUAAUUAGUCAUUACAAAAUAAUUGCCCAAAAUAUCAAAAUAUAAAGUAUUUAAGACAUCAGGGGUGAUGUCAUCACCACAUCCAUAUCUUCUCCGAAAUUCUAAACAUUUAUACAUCCUGAGAAUGGUCACAAAUUCUCUACCUCUCUCUCUCUCUCUCUCUGGUAGAGAAAAUGGAGAUAUCAGUUGCAUCGGUAACAGUUUCUGUAGCUGUAGUUGUUGUGUCAUGGUGGGUAUGGAGAACUUUACAGCGGGUUUGGCUUAAACCAAAGAUGCUUGAGAGUUACCUGAGAAGACAAGGUCUUGCCGGAACUCCUUACACGCCUCUUGUCGGUGAUUUGAAGAGAAAUUUUAGCAUGCUGGCUGAGGCAAGAUCCAAACCCAUCAACCUAACAGAUGAUAUCACACCACGUAUCGUGCCUUAUCCGUUGCAAAUGCUCAAGACUCAUGGUAUGCUUCCCGGUUGGCAUCUUGAUUCCUCUUUGUUUAGAACUAUUUUGUAGAGUAUCUAGAAAAAGUUUCAACUUUCGUAUCUCUAUGUGGUUGAAACAGGGAGGACUUUCUUUACAUGGUUUGGACCCAUACCAACAAUCACCAUAAUGGAUCCUGAGCAAAUCAAAGAAGUGUUCAACAAAGUUUAUGAUUUCCAGAAGGCACAUACGUUUCCUCUGGGCAGAUUAAUAGCGGCUGGACUCGUUAGUUAUGAUGGUGAUAAAUGGACAAAACACCGAAGAAUCAUCAACCCGGCUUUCCACCUUGAGAAGAUCAAAGUUUAUAAGCUUUCUUUUCCGUAGUCCCAGUUUAGCUUUAUGUAUGUAUGUCCAUUUGGUUCUGAACCAAUUUGUGUCCUCUGCUUUUAUGUACAGAAUAUGGUACCUGCGUUCCACCAGAGCUGCAGCGAGAUUGUUGGCGAAUGGGACAAGUUAGUGACGGAUAAACAGUCAUCCUGUGAGGUGGAUAUUUGGCCUUGGCUUGUGAGUAUGACUGCAGAUGUGAUCUCCCGUACUGCAUUUGGCAGCAGCUACAAAGAAGGGCAGAGGAUAUUUGAGCUCCAAGCGGAAUUAGCACAGCUCAUCAUUCAAGCUUUUCGGAAAGCUAUUAUCCCUGGAUAUCGGUAAUAAAAUCCCAAACUUGUCUGCUUUUAGAACAAGGCCUUUUAGAGCUUCAGUAGUGCUGCAUUCUACUAGAGACUUUGAACCAUGUUUUGUAAUAAAAACCCUAACUUGUCUCUCUGUCGUCUGUUCGUGUAGUUAUUUCCCUACAAAGGGUAAUAGAAGGAUGAAAGCAGCAGCUAGAGAAAUCAAAUUUAUACUGAGAGGGAUCGUUAACAAAAGGCUUAGGGCAAGAGAAGCUGGGGAAGCACCAAGUGACGAUUUGCUGGGUAUACUUCUUGAAUCGAAUUUGGGACAAACAAAAGGAAAUGGAAUGAGUACCGAGGAACUGAUGGAGGAGUGCAAGUUGUUCUAUUUCGCUGGGCAAGAGACUACUACAGUACUUCUGGUUUGGACAAUGGUGUUGUUAAGCCAACACCAAGAUUGGCAGGCUCGUGCAAGAGAAGAAGUGAAGCAAGUUUUUGGCGAUAAAGAACCUGAUGCAGAAGGCUUGAACCAGCUCAAAGUUGUAAGUAAACCGAACCAAAAACCUUCAAGUGACGUGAGUUCUUUUGUUGCAUUGAAGCUGAAAAUUUGAUCCCUCACAGAUGACGAUGAUAUUAUAUGAAGUCCUUAGGCUAUAUCCUCCAGUAGUCCAGCUGACCCGAGCCAUUCACAAAGAGAUGCAGCUAGGUGACCUGACACUACCAGGCGGCGUUCAGAUAAGUCUACCAAUUCUGCUAAUCCAACGCGACAGGGAGCUGUGGGGAAACGAUGCAGGGGAGUUCAAGCCAGAUAGAUUCAAAGACGGUCUCUCAAAGGCAACAAAGAACCAAGUCUCCUUCUUUCCUUUUGCGUGGGGACCGAGGAUCUGCAUUGGCCAAAAUUUUGCACUGCUUGAGGCAAAGAUGGCAAUGACACUGAUUCUACGGAAAUUCUCCUUUGAGCUUUCUCCUUCUUAUGUUCACGCGCCUUACACAGUCCUCACUACUCACCCACAGUUCGGUGCUCCUCUUAUCUUGCACAAGCUCUAAUCGUAUAAACUCCUUGUUCACAAAUAUACUUUCCAAUUUCCAUACACAGAUGAAACAACUCCAUAUUAUCAUACAAAACUCAAAUCUUGAUACGGUUUUGAAGUCACAGAACUCACGGAACAAAUCUCAGUUGUGAAACAAAAACCCAAGACUAUAGACAAGAGAUCACAAACCCUUUUUUUGAGAAUUGACUCAGUAUUUGUUCUUCAUCAACGACUAUUCUCUUCCGGUUACUGAUUAGAAGCGGCAACGCUUGUAUCCAGAGAAGCCGUAGCCAAAACACUUCAUACCAAUCAAACAUGUUGGAUUACGUCGUGAUUUCGCCUCAACAAUGCUCAACCAAAUCUUACAGUCUCUUUGAAACAGAGUAACCCAUAGAAUAAUCGAACGACAGAUGAGAUUCUCCAAAUCGAUCGCUUCUGAAUUCGCUAAAAACCCCAAUUUCUUCAUCAACGGUGAUAUUCGCGGAGGAGAGGUUCUAUAUGACGGCGCAAUGUUAUAAUUUGAGAAAAUGUCUGAAAACUCCCUUUUUGUCAAGAGCUAACCUCAUAUCUCCCCAACGAAAACAGAAAGGAAUUUUGAUUUAUUUUUAAUUCGUUUUGUAUGGAUUUUACUUGUAUACCCCAACUGAAAUCGAAUAUUUACAAUAAAAAUUUGGAUCUAUUCGAUCCAGACCCGAUCCAUUAUCCCAAAGAGAAUAUAUUUUAUUGGAUCUCUCUUCUAUUCUUCGGUUUCUUUUUCUUUUGAAAACGAAACUGAAACUUCUCCUUCUCAAUUUCAAAAGCUUUUCGAUUUAUGUUCCUCAAACCUCAAACCGCUCUCGAUUUCAAUCCUCUCCCUUCUCUACUCAAAUUCUCAACAAGAAUCCUAAUCUCUUCUUUCUCAGAAUCUUUUCUUCUCCUUCUUUAACCCUAACCCUAAUGCCGCUGAAAACAAUGCUGAGAGGAGUAGGAACGAAGGAGAAUUCAACGACGGAGGAGCCUCCGCCGGGAACGAAGCCAAUCGAUGCUGUCACAAAGGCAACGACGGAGCCUCCGAUGACGACGGAGGAGCCAUCAGCGUCGAAGCAAAAUCCGGUCGUAAUUGAGGGAAGAGGAGUUGAAGAAGAACAAAUCCCGACCAUAAUCACGACCGUAGUGGAAGAAGGAGAGAAGUCUGACAACAAUGAGGAAGAAAAUUCUGAGAAGGAUGAGAAAGAAGAGAGUGAAGAAGAAGAGAGUGAAGAAGAAGAGAAAGAAGAAGAAGAGAAAGAGGAAGAGGAGAAAGAAGAAGAGGGGAAUGUUGCCGGAGGAGGAUCCUCCGAUGAUAGUAGUAGAACCUUGGGCAAAGAGUCCUCCUCCGAUGAGAAUAUGGAUGAUGAGACUGCAGUGGGAAAGCAAGUGGAUAUUCCGGCGGCUAUGGUAAGGAUUUCUCAAGUAUUUGAAUGGUGUGAAACUGGUAGAACAGGAUAAUACUAUGAUUUCUGUAGAAAACUGUCAUUACUAGGAUAUAACUAUGUGUAUGAAUUCUGGGUAACAUUGGUAGUACUAAGAUAGAACUAUGUGUAUGAUUUCUGGGUAAUACUGUCAUUACUAGGAUAUAACUAUGCGUUUCUGGGUAAUAUUGUCAUUACUAGAAAAUAACUACGUGUAUGAUUUCUGGGUAAUACUGUCAUUACUAGGAUAUAACUAUGUGUCUGAUUCUAGGUAACGUCGGUAGUAAUAUGAAUGAAUGUUUGUUGCAGAAGAUCAACGAGAUGGGCCAAGAGAAUGAUGGGGAUCCGAAAGAGAAGGAUGGUGAUCUAGAGAAAGAUGGUGAUCAAGAGAAGGACCCGAAAGAGAAGGACCCAAAAGAGAAGGAUCCGAAAGAGAAGGACCCAAAGAGAAGGACCCGAAUGGUCCUUCAAAACCCGUGGAAGCAAACUUCACAAGAAGGACCACUCAGAGAACCAAGAGUUGAAUUUGGUUGUACUUGUUAGGAUUUGAAUUUGGAAUGUUUGGUUUUAGGAUUUGAAUGUGGUUUGUUUUGUUUGGAUUUGACUCCGGAUUUGUUAUGUUAGGAUUUGAAUUUGAUAAGUUUUUUUUGAAUAUCAAUUUGGAUAUGAAUUGGAAUUUGAUAUGUUAGGAUUUAACGAUAAUACUGAGAAUACAAGAGAAUACUAGGAUUUAACGAUAAUACUGAGAAUCCAAGAGAAUACUAAGAUUUAACGAUAAUACUGAGAAUACAAGGGAAAACUAAGACUUAACGAUAAUAUUGAGAAUACAAGAGAAUACUAAGAUUUAACGAUAAUACAGAGAAUACAAGGGAAAACUAUGAUUUAACGAUAAAACUGGGAAUACAAAGGAAUACUUAAUGACGAUAAUACUGGAAAUACAAGGGAAUACUCAAUAAAAGUCUUACAAACCAAAGACAGAAAUUAAGUUCACACAAACCCAAUAAUUCCUCACUUUCCACAACAAACUCUCCACAAAGUCCCCAUCUUUUUUUGGAUCUCAUCCAACUCCGAACGCAUUUCUUGGUUAGAGUACUCCAAGCUUUGAAUCUUUUGGUGAUGGUUAUCAACUUGCUCUAUCCCAUAGCUUUAUCCCAAAGUUUCCGAAUGUAUAACCCAUCAUUCUACAAAACAUGAAUUCUUAAUAGAAAUCAAUUAUUCUAAAACAAGAUUGAUGAUAUUUAUAUCUUCAAUUUACCUUAUACACGAUGCAUUUAUAGUAUCUUUUUCCUUUGUCACCAUCGUUCUCAGAGAUUUUGUCAAGGAUUUGUCCACCACAAGGACAAAUUGCCGGAAUUCCUUCCAUCAUUGCAACUUCUUCAAGUUGCUGUAUUAUCCUCUUAGCGCUCUUCAUCUCAUCAUACCAUGGAUCACUCUCACACAAUCGAUCCAUAAAUGAUUGGAGAGAAGAAUUUUUGAGUGAGAGAGAAUGAAGAGAAUGAAGAGAAAUUGAGAUCGGGAGAGAGAGAGAGAGAGAGAGAGAGAGAGUGAAUUUCGAGAGAGAGAGAGAGAGAGAGAGAGAGAGAGAGAGAGAGAGAGAGAGAGAGAGAGAGAGAGAGUUUAUUUCGAUAGAGAUAAAUGAUUUCGAGAGAGAGAGAAGAUAUUUUGUGGGAAAUUGGUUUUGGGGGGAAUUUGGUUUUGGGGGAAAAUUUGUUUUGUUUUGGGAGGAAAUUGAAAUUGGAGGGAAAGUUAAUUUUUGGGGGGAAAGGUGUUUUCCACGUGGGCGCAGAUAUUUAGACAUGUGCGCCGUUUUUUUAAAGUUAGUUGUACUCUAGUUUUUGGUUGUACAAAAUGCCCACAUAGUUGUAUUUUUUGUGUUUUCCAGUUUAGGCAGUAUUACAUAUCUUUUAAGAUGAUUUAUCUAGUUGUUCAGAUUAAGGAAGUCUAUCAUUAUAGAAUUCUAAAGGUUUAAUGUAAUUAUAUGUAGACAAUAUAUGAAAUUGUAAAAUUUCAAUCUUAAGUUGGAGUUUAUAUCAAACGUGAGCUUAAAAGUAUAAGGAAUAUGUAGGAUAGUGUCUAUUAAAAUGUGUUUUGACCAAAUAUUUUUUUUCCUAAUUUAAUUUGUUUUAAUUCAUUUUUAAGAGUUCUUCAUCUUUGCAUAAUCUAUUUAAUAUUUGAUGUUUGAAACAAACAUAAAUUCGAAUUUUAAUAUCCUUCAAUAGUAUUCCCUUGUAUUUCCAGUAUUAUCUUGUAAUCAUAGUAUUCCCUUGUUUUCCCAGUAUUAUCGUCUAAUCAUAGUAUUCCCGUGUAUUCUCAGUAUUAUUGUUAAAUCAUUGUAUUCUCCUGUAUUCUCAGUAUAACCCUUAUGCCAAUAAAUUAAAACAUAGUAUUACUGAAGGAAAGUCUAGUGUUACAUAGCUGCACAACACGAAUAAGGUUUACAAAUCAUAAAAUCAAAUAUUAUGGGUGCCAAAUAACAACCAUUGCAGCGACUGCCUCGGCCUCCUUUUGUCUGAGUCUUUUGACGUUUUGGAUGUCUUUCUCCGGUGGAAAGAAACCUAAGCACUUCUGUUCUACCCUUCUUCUUUUUCCGAGGCAGAGGUAAUACCUUCAACGCUUUGAUGUCAUCCGGGAUAUCCCACUGUGAUCUAUUCGGGACAAAAUAAAUAGUCCUAUAAUACGCUAAUGCCCACAACUCCGCCCAAUAAUUCUUUGAAACCAAUUCAUGUAAUUCCAUAUCUCGAGUUCUUGUUGUAUCGUGAUCCAAUCUCAGGAUCUUGAGUAUCAUCAACCUCCACUAUUGCCUCAUUUUGUUCUGUUUCUUGUCCCUCCAAUUCGCCCAUCACGAUGGCAGCAUUAUCUCUCAUUUCAUCAUCAUUUGAACCCAAAUCAGCAUAGUUCUUACCAAUAGAACUUUUAUUGACGACCUCCACUCUCGACAGUUACUUGGGCAAUUCCGGUGGAGUGAUGACGUCAACAGUCAAAGGAUAUCUACUAACCAUUUCACCUGAAGAUAUAUAGACACCGACAUCCUCAUCAUCACUAAUGUGUAUCUCUUGAGUUGGUCCCAACAUCACUGCAUUGCACUUCAUUUGCAAUUUAACCAUACUUUUAUCUAAUCCAAGCUUCGUGCAAAUCCUACUUUCUAACAUGGAGAGAGUUAUUUUCCCUCCUGGUGUAUUCAUCAACAAGUUGUACGCUCGAUCUUUCCAUAUAAAAUAUAUAAUCACCUUCUCCACCAUUGUAUCCUACAAAAUCAAUACAAAAACCUCUAUCAGAUAUACUAGUUAUACUACAAUUCUGGGUAACACAAGUAUAACUAGUUAUACUACACAUAUCUGUAUAAUACAGUUAUAACUAAUAAUAGUACAUGUAAAUGGGUAAUACUACUGUACCUAAGAAAUACUACAUGUAAAUGGUUAAUACUAGUGCAACUAAGUCAUACUACAUACAUCUGGAUAAAACUAGAGCUACGGGUAAUACUACAUAUAUAUUUUUCAAUUGAAUCAUGUGCAAUUCUACUCAGUUCUACCAGUUGUAUUUCCCGACAAUAACUCAAAUCGCAUGGUUUCGGGUUCAAAACUACAAUUCACUCUGAUUCAGUUGUUGUAAUCCAUUUCUUACCCAUUUUACAGAUCUAUUCAACCCAGGCAGUAUGCAUAAACUUCCAAUGUGCAUACCCAAACACAAUUUGCUUAAUCUCAAAUCUAAUUGACAACAAUCUCCUAGUUUUCUAGGUUCAAAACUUCAAUAUUAAGCUCUAUGCAGCUCGAGUAAGAUACCUUUUCUUUCUAUCUCGACGCAACUCGUCGGAGGGAGAGGAUACGACAACAAUGGCGACUGAAAUCAAAUUUCGAUGAUGAGAGCGAUGAGAGCUCGAGCGAGAAGAAGCUGAGAGGAGAGAGAGAGGAGAGGCAAGAGAGAGUCGAGAGAGAGUCGAGAGAUUUUUUUUUUCCUGUUUUAUUUUUUUUUUCUUUUCAAAAACUAAAUAAUUUAAAAAUGAAUAAAAUAAAGAAGGAGAGGGUAAAUUCGUCAACUCACAAUUCAUUAAUAGAGUGGGGGAUAUGAAGACAAAAAUAGGAUACAAGAGGUUAGUGUUUGGCAAAAAAGGAGUUAUAAGAUUAUUUCUCUUAUAAUUUAGACUGAACGACGCCGUUCGAAUAGUUUUUUUAAUCAUUGUUUUUUUCCGUUCCAAACUAUGUCGUUUGAUCAAACUCAAUUUGUGCUACCAAUUAUUAAUUUGUGUCAUACUUAUGCUAAGACCAUGCUAAUCUUCUUCUUUUUUCUUUUUUGAAGCUAAUGUACUCGGAGGAACAAUCGAUAUAUCCACUUCAAAACUGAAGCUAUUUCUAGGUGAUUUAAGAUUUUUAACAUCGUUAAUGAGUAUUUCAUGGGAAGUUCACUAUAAAUUAUAAAGUAACCCUAUAAUUAUGGUUAUUGGUGAGUUAAUUAUAUUCAGUAGCACUUUAAAAAGAAAUGUACGUUCAGUCCAGAACAAUUACAGCUUACGAUCGAAAUCUGAAAUCAAAUCACUCUAACUUUAAAAAAAAAAAAAAACCUUAAAUGUGUAGGUUUUUCUUUUGGAAUGAAAAAGAAUAAUCCUUGCGUAAUAAGAUAGCAAUUGAUUGAAAAACAAAAUAGCUCAUGUCGGCCUAUACACUAUAAUAUUCUAGACACGUCCCUUUCUGUUGGUUGUUAACUAAAAUAGCUCAUGGCGGCUAUUACAAAAUGCACCACUUGAGAUGACUAUGAAGGUACAACAAAAUAAAUAUUUGUCAUAUGUGAGAGCAAACUAAUUGGAAAAACAGGAUGAGAUUGAGAUCAUAACAAAUGAGCAAUACUAAAAUACACUAAACCAGGUUUAGUAAACCUUAUGUCCUUAUCAGAGUUUUACGCCAUUUUAUAUAGUUUGUGUUUUUGAGGGAGUUGUAUAUUAUUUCUGACGUUGGAGGGAUUUAGUAGUUUUACUUUUCUUUUCUUUUUUUUUGUCGUUUUACUUUUUUUUUUGAUAUUUCUUUAUUUCACGUUUCUAUUUAACUUAGAGUUUUUUUUAUAUAUUUAUGUUUUUAGUUUCUUCUCUACAUAUAUAAAAAUUCUUAAGUUAUUUGUAAGAUACGUUUUAUUAUCUAAUUAAUAAAAGUAAAGAGUUUUUUUUCUCUAAUUGGUAGAAUUUCAAGAAUUUCAAUCCUUUCAAGUUCGACAGUUUGACAUAAUACUUGUUAUUCCUAUCAUAGACAUAAUGCUUGUUAUUCCUAGAUAUUCUAAAUGUGUCAAUUUCUCAAAACAUUGUAAUUCUCAAAUUUAAAUAUGAAAGUUUUUAGUUAUUUUUCUUUUUUGAAAAAAAACUCUUACGGUGAUCAUCGACAAUUUUGUUACGAUGAUCGUAAAACAAUAUUGUUACGAUGAUCGACAGUUUUUAUUCAUUAUGAUAUAUUUUAGAUAUUAAUAAGAAGCAUAUCCUAAGAUCUAAGUUAAGAAAAAUUUAGAUAUUUUAUGUGAUUAUUUAUCAGUUUUAAAUGAAUAUGUUAAAUUUACUUUAAUCAGUGUUUGUUUAGCUAAUGUGCUGAGACCGGAGAGUGCUAAGAUACAAGGUCUAAAAGUAAAAAAAUAAAAUAUAUAGAUAUUAAUUUAUUUUUAAUAAUAGAUAUUUUAGGUUUUUGUAUAUAUAACAGCAUUUGGUCUAUAAAAUAUAUGAGCAGGGCCUGACUUUAAUGCAAAAACAACAGUAGCCUAUGUACAUGUACAAAAAAGUCGUUUUAGUCAAAUGUGAAAAUCAAAUGAUUUUGUAAUUAUUUUUGUUUUAAAGAAAUGUCAAAAAGUUGAAGACGUUCAUGUCAGAGCAUCUUUACUGGUGAUAUAUCCAAUAUGGAUGUCUAAAACAUUUUUUAUAGUUAACUUAUUAUAUAUUUUUUUGUUUGGUCAACAUUAUAUUAUAUUUUAAUACGAGUAACUAAGAAACAGGAUGGAGUUAGGCGAGAUGUCAAAUUUUGUUUAUUACGGCUUCGUGGCAAGGGACUGUGAACCACGACAUCAGGGGUGAUGUAAUCAACUAAUCACCGCAUCCAUAUCUUCUCCAAAAGUUUCAACUUUAUGUUCCUAGAACUUUUAGCAAAUUAUCUACCUCUAUCUUUCUCUCUUCUUUAAGAGAAAAAAAAAUGGAGAUAUCAGUUUCUUCGGUAACAUUUUCACUAGCUGUAGUUGUUGUGUCUUGGUGGGUAUGGAGAACGUUAAAGUGGGUUUGGUUCACACCAAAGAUGCUUGAGCGUUCCCUGAGAAGACAAGGUCUUUCCGGAACUUCUUACACGCCUCUAAUCGGCGAUUUUAAAAAGAUGAUCAGCAUGUUCAUUGAGGCAACAUCCAAACCCAUCAAACCAACAGAUGAUAUCACCCCUCGUGUCAUGCCUCAUCCCUUGCAAAUGCUCAAGACUCAUGGUAUCCUUCCAUAGUUCGCUUCUUGAUUCUUCUCUGUUUAGAACUUAUAACAAAACUGUUGCAAAGUAUCUGAUCUAUAUAUAAACUUUUGUAUCUUUAUUAUGCUCUUGGAACAGGAAGGACUAACUUAACAUGGUUUGGACCAAUACCAACAAUCACCAUAAUGGAUCCUGAGCAAAUCAAGGAAGUGUUCAACAAAGUCUAUGACUUCCAGAAGGCGCAUACGUUUCCUUUAAGCAAAAUACUAGGCACGGGACUCGUUAGUUAUGAUGGCGAUAAAUGGGCGCAACACCGAAGAAUCAUCAAUCCGGCUUUCCACCUUGAGAAGAUCAAGGUUUAAGGCUUUAUUUCUCAGUCACAUAUCAAGUUGUAUUUUUUCAUUUGGCUCUUCUGACCCAACUUUUGCGUGGAUCUGCUUCUAUCUAUUAUAUAUAGAAUAUGGUACAUGUGUUCCACGAAAGCUGCAGCGAGCUUGUUGGUGAGUGGGACAAGUUAGUCUCGGAUAAAGGGUCCUCAUGUGAGGUGGACGUGUGGCCUGGGCUUACGAGUAUGACUGCAGAUGUGAUCUCCCGUACUGCUUUUGGUAGCAGCUACAGAGAAGGACACAGGAUAUUUGAACUCCAGGCAGAACUAGCACAGCUAGUCAUGCAAGCUUUUCAGAAAUUUUUUAUUCCCGGAUAUAUGUAAUGAAAAAACUCUACUUGUCUAGCUUUAAUAUAGUGCUUUUAAAUCUGGAUUCUUGAUCUUUAACUUUUAGUGCUGCAAUCUAUUAGAGAUAUGACCUGUGUUGUCAUAAUCAUGUGCUUAUUGUUUGUGUAGUUAUCUCCCAACAAAGGGUAAUAGAAGGAUGAAAACAGCAGCCAGAGAAAUCCAAGAUAUACUGAGAGGGAUCAUUAACAAAAGGGAAAGGGCAAGAGAAUCUGGAGAAGCACCAAGCGAGGAUUUGCUAGGUAUACUUCUUGAAUCAAACUUGGGGCAAACGGAAGGGAAUGGAAUGAGUACCGAGGAUAUGAUGGAAGAAUGCAAGUUGUUCUAUUUGGCCGGGCAAGAGACAACAUCAGUACUUCUGGUUUGGACAAUGGUUCUGUUGAGCCAACACCAAGAUUGGCAGGCUCGUGCACGAGAGGAAGUGAAGCAAGUUUUUGGCGAUAAACAACCUGAUACAGAAGGCCUUAACCAACUCAAAGUUGUAAGUAUAAACCAAAUUUUUUAUAAAACAAACUUUUUCAAAUGACUUCACUACUUUUGUUGCAUUUUGAUGAUUUAAGCUGAUCCCUCACAGAUGACGAUGAUAUUAUAUGAGGUCCUUAGGCUUUAUCCUCCUGUAGUCCAGCUGACCCGAGCCAUUCACAAAGAGAUGAAGCUCGGAGAUCUGACUUUACCAGGCGGUGUUCAGAUCAGUCUACCUGUUCUGCUUGUCCAUCGCGACACGGAGCUGUGGGGAAACGAUGCAGGGGAGUUCAAGCCUGAGAGAUUCAAAGACGGC